rnacentral:piRNA from 1 species
UAAAAGAGUCUGCCUUUUAAGUUAUGGGAGU